ACGUAGAUUGUAUGUAGUUUCAAGUUCCAAGUUCCAACGGCAAUUGAACGGCUCCAUUGGCAACUGCGAGCCGCUUCACUAGCCUAACUUCAACUAUACACCGGUACAUCCUGACGUUCCUGACUCCGGCUCCGACUUCUGACCCUGCUUCAAACUGCUCCUCGAUCCUGAAUUGCAUGGAAUAUGGCAUGGCUUGAGGCUGCAAUUUGCUAAGCAGUCGAGUAUGGAGACCGGAAUUGCUGUAAAAAAAUGAAAUAUUUCUGAAUUGAUGCGUAUGUAAGCAUAAUAAAUCGUAAGAAGGAAAGCGUUAACUUUGUUGUCGAGUUGGUGAGUUGAUAAAGAAGGGUUAGUUGAAGAGCUGUGAUUUUGUCGCAGAGCGACGAGCUUGUCAAUUCGAAGAAAUAGUGAAAAAUGCCGAGGAAAAAAGCAUACAGCGGCAAAGCAAAAAGGCUGCAAUUA